CAUGGAGUAGUUCAGCGGUCGAACACCGGCACGACACGUAGGAGGUCGCAGGUUCGAUCCCUGCCUCCAUGG
rnacentral:tRNA from 1 species